UACGGGGGGAGCAAGCGUUGUUCGGAUUUACUGGGCGUAAAGGGCUCGUAGGCGGCCAACUAAGUCAGACGUGAAAUCCCUCGGCUUAACCGGGGAACUGCGUCUGAUACUGGAUGGCUUGAGAUUGGGAGAGGGAUGCGGAAUUCCAGGUGUAGCGGUGAAAUGCGUAGAUAUCUGGAGGAACACCGGUGGCGAAGGCGGCAUCCUGGACCAACACUGACGCUGAUGAGCGAAAGCCAGGGGAGCAAACGGG
rnacentral:rRNA from 1 species